GUGGGAGUAGCUCAGUGGUAGAGUGCAUGCUUAGCAUGCACAAGGUCCUGGGUUCAAUCCCCAGUACCUCUG
rnacentral:tRNA from 1 species